GCCAGAGGGUGCAAACGUUGUUCGGAAUUACUGGGCGUAAAGCGAGUGUAGGCGGUCUGAAAAGUCGGGUGUGAAAGCCCCGGGCUCAACCCGGGAAGUGCACUCGAAACUGCCAGGCUAGAGUAUCGGAGAGGUUGGUGGAAUUCUCGGUGUAGAGGUGAAAUUCGUAGAUAUCGAGAGGAACACCGGUGGCGAAGGCGGCCAACUGGACCGGAACUGACGCUGAGGCGCGAAAGCGUGGGGAGCAAACAGG
rnacentral:rRNA from 1 species